rnacentral:rRNA from 1 species
CAGUCGCCGCGGGAAUACGGAGGGGGCUAGCGUUGUUCGGAAUUACUGGGCGUAAAGCGCACGUAGGCGGCUUGGUAAGUUAGAGGUGAAAGCCUGGAGCUCAACUCCAGAAUUGCCUUUAAGACUGCCGAGCUAGCAGGUGAGAGAGGUAAGUGGAAUUCCGAGUGUAGAGGUGAAAUUCGUAGAUAUUCGGAAGAACACCAGUGGCGAAGGCGGCUUACUGGCUCAUACUGGACGCUGAGGUGCGAAAGCGUGGGGAGCGAACAGGAUUAGAUACCCGAGUAGUCCCUGUCUCUUAUAA